GCUGAAGUACUGGUGGAGAAAUAAUAGCACUUUCCUUCAUGUUGCUCCCAGCCUUCUUCACAUUUCAGACAUGGCUCACCUUUCAGAGAUCACAGGAGACGUCAGUCAGGCUUGAGCAAGGCAGUUAUCCUGCAGCUGCACUGCAAAAUAAACCCAUCCCUAUCUGA